GCGCGGCUUCCGGCGUCGGCGGCGCUGUCACCGCCUCCGCGAUAUGGCGGCGCUGGGCCGGCAGGUCUUUGAUUGGCACCGCCGGAUCGCCCUCACCUGGGCCCUCAUUGCUAGGCAGACUCCUCAGCUUGGAGAACAGAAAAGGACGACUGCUUUUUUCUUGCGUACGCUGACGACAGCCUCCAAUGGAGGGGGCCUUGAGAAGUCGUCCUUUGUUGAACCCCAAAAGUGUGCACAGGAACCAGAGCACAGGACGGGGCUGAUUCAGUGCCUCCUUGAGAAGCAGAGGACUCCUGUGGAGCGAGAGAAGAUCGUCAGUUCCCUCCUGGACAUGGGUUUCAGUGAUGUCCACGUUCAUGAACUGUUCAGCAUACAGCCAGGUACCCACCCUCAACAGCUGCUGGACAUCAUUUCAGAGUUAAUACUCCUGGGUCUGAAUCCAGAAUCUGUGUGUGUGGCCUUGAAGAAAAGUCCUCAGUUACUGAAACUGCCUGUAAUGCAAAUGAAGAAGCGCUCCAGUUACCUGCGCAAGCUGGGGCUUGGAGAAGGGAAAUUAAAGAGGGUGCUUUACUGUUGCCCUGAAAUUUUCACCAUGCGUCAGCGGGACAUUGAGGUCAUUGUUGGGGUUCUCAAGGAGAAGUGCCUUUUCACGGUAAAGCAAGUCACUGAGAUUUUGCACAGAUGCCCCUAUGUUCUUCGAGAGGACCCUGGUGAACUGGAAUACAAAUUCCAGUAUGCCUAUUUCAGGAUGGGGAUUAAACAUGUGGAUGUGGUGCGGACCGACUUCCUGCAGUAUUCCAUGACCAAGACCAAGCAGAGGCACUUGUUCCUGGAGCGCCUGGGCCGGUACCAGACCCCCGACAAGAAGGGGCAGACACAGGUGUCCAACCCGUUACUCAAGGACAUUCUUAGAGUUUCGGAAGCUGAGUUUCUGGCCAGGACAGCCUGCUCUUCUGCUGAGGAGUUUGAGGUUUUUAAGAAACUCUUGGCCAGGGAGGAGGAGGAGUCUGAGGGCUGCAUGGCUGACGAGGAAAGUCUGGAGGAGGAGGAGGAGCAGGAGCUGGAGGAGGAGGAGCAGGAGCUGUGAUGCACGGACUGGAGUGAAAAGAGUCCAGAGAGGUCAGAGGAUAUUUUAAUUUUCUCAGAGCUUUUGGGGACUUCACUUGGAUCUUCUCAGGUUAUUUUUCAUUCUCCAGCUGGUCUUUUGAUGAAAAAUUACUGGAAAUCACCUGAGAAGUAGACAGGCCAAACUAAGCAGCACAUGCAUUGGUUUGAUCUGCUGCUGUCAGGUCCUGUGUGGUGGGCCCACUUCCAUCCCGAAUAAAAGGCUGACUUUUCCUCUGUCAUCGGUGUUGGUGACAAUUCUGUGACAGUGUAGGGGAUAUUUCUUCUCAUUCAGGAGUCAUUUUACAUCCUUCUAGUGACAAAGACAACGUUAAAAGAAGACAGUGAGGUUUUAGUACAUCAUAGCACUUUAUUUUAUGAAAACAAGUAGCAGGUUUUCCACAAACACACUCCUGGUUUUAAUUCAGAAAUAUCUUAUUGCUUUGUGAUUGCAUUCAGUGUACAGCAGGGUGAAAGGGAGUUGAUUAGUGAUGUAUGGUUUUGCUCUGCACAGCUUCUUAGUGCCAGCAAAGUGUGGGGGCACUUUUUGCAUUUUUGUGAAGAACAGGCCCUGACUCUGACCUCUGGGGGAAUUUGCUUUUGUGCCAGCUCAGGCCCAGGGGGUCAUGUCCAGACCUGACGUCUCCGGCAGCUGUGGAGUGCUGACGUGGAGCGAGCCAGGACCUGGUGCAGCUGGGGCUUCUGAGACCAGAGGAGAAAGAGCACCUGCCAGGGUCAUGGGGAGGGCGGGGCCUGGAGCCAGGGCCGUGGGUCUGGGCUUGGUUUCAAUUCAGGGAGCUCUCCAUGACACCAGAGGUGGUGGAAGGGCCCCUGGGGAGGCCAGUGGGUCUGAGGAGCGACUUGAAGAGGUGGGGUUGGGGAAUGGACUUGGAUGUAAGCCAGGGGUCAUCUCUGAGGUGGAGGUCCAGCCCUGAUGGCACGAGCUCUGUGGGGUGAGAGGACGGGAGGUUCUUAGAACAUUCUGGGGAUCCCUUCUUUGGCGGGGGAACUGGCAUAAGACUGAUGCUGCAGAAGACAUUUUUGGUGAUGUGCCCAACACAGGUCUUUGCAGCAUUUUAACGGCCACGUGAGACUCCUGGUGCUUUGCCUUGUUUUUCUUGCAGAGACCAUGUAAAUCUCAUCAGGCAGCGGUUCUCACCUGAGGGUGAGCUGGACUGCAGGGAACAUCGAGCAACAUCUGGGGACAUUUCCGGUUGUUAGGACCAGGAGCAUGUGCAAUUGGGGUCUAGUGGGUCAAGGCCAGGGCUGCUGUUAAACAUCCUGCAGCCACAGGACAGGCCCACAACAGGAUGUGCCAGCCCAGAGGGCAGCAGUGCCGAGGCUCAGACUCUGAUCUGAGGCCUCAUCUAGCAAAACGCAACUGUGUUGAUUCGUGAGAACUUGAGAUUUUAAAUGGGCUUACAUUUGUUGUUUCUCUUUUAUUUAAAAGCAAAUUGAAGAGCUCAUUUUUUUUUUUUUUGCACACGGGCUUAGUUGCUCCGCGGCAUGUGGAAUCUUCCUGGAGCUGGGAUCGAACCCAUGACCUCUGCAUUGGCAGGCAGAUUCUUAACCACUGCGCCACCUAGGAAGCCCUGAAGAGCUCAUUUUUAAAGAGAGUUCCUCUCCCCUCUGUACUGGGAUACUGUUGGUAGAUUUGAGCUGCAUUUUAUGUGGGGGAUUUGGCACUGAAGUGUGCAUGCUUUUUCUUUCUCCAGGUUCAUAUUCGAGCAUGACUGCAAAGAGAAACAUUUUUUGCAAAAGAACAGUAGCUUAGUGAACCCCUCCACACGUGAGUCUGACUCCGGUGGCAGUGGUUGGCUGGUGGCAGGCGUCUUAGCCCAGGGAGGUGCUGGAGGCUGGCUGGCAUGGGGUGGAGCCCUCGCCUGUUGGGAUGGCUGAUGUGAGAGCAGCGCGGUGCCGCGUAGCUUUCCUCAUUUGCACCCGUGUCAGCCUGUGUGCAAGGGGAAAAGGGAGGUUUUGUCUUUACUGUCUUUCUUGGCCAUGGCAGAAUUAUUUGAAAGUGAAGAGAUUUUAUUUUUCAUUUACUCUUGUGUUUUGUGGCCUCCGGGUGGCCGGCUCUGUCCCUGGAACCUAGGGUAUUGCUCUUGUGCUCCCUAGUCGGGACUAACAGAAUCUUAAAUCUAAGCUCGAUUACAUGGUUAGUUGAUCCAAGUUUUGAUUAGCACAGGCUAACUCGGCGAUUGCUGAUUGCUCCUUUCUUUGCGACACGGAAGUGUGUAUGCCUCUGACAGUUUUCUGAUUGUAUUGUUACUGAUCUCUUUGGGUGGACUUUGAGUGUUUCCAAGGAAGACAUUAGAGUUUUAAGAAGGAGCCAUGUGGAAAAAAGCAGUGGCUCGUUUGUAACAUUUCAAGGAUGAAUUAUAGUUCCUUUAGCAUCAGGAAGUCUUUACUAGAUGUUUAAUUUAUAAAACAUCAAAAUGGGUUAAUCAUAAGAAAACACAGCACCAAGCUUAGGAUUCAGUAGAUGGUUUCUUGUAGAAACAAAGGCUUCUAAGCUAAAGACUGGAACAUGUUACAUUUGCCUCGUGGCUGAGGGGCUUGAGGUCAUCAGUACGGCGGCAGAGAGUUUCGUGUGCAUUCCAGUGAUAUCAGUGUCGGAGCCCCUGGACCGCUCCCAGCCAUCUUCUCCAGGCGGGCCUUGGACACUGGGGACCUCCUGGAGUACGGUAGAGGCGUCUCCAAGUGACGGUUCCUCCCUGCUGAAAAUGACAGACUGCAUAAUACACAGACAUAUGCACACAGAACUUUAAUAAAAAUAAAAAGCCUAAAAUAUAACUCUAUAAAAAUUUUUUUUAUAAACGAUGAAAGGAAGGAGCCCUUUCUGUGACUGUAAUGCUGACUCAGGGCAGAGUCAGUGGAAGACGCACAGGGGCCUGAGUUCCAGUUUGGGUCAGCUGUCAAAAUACUCCACACGCUACGAGGUGGGGUUGGUUUCCUUGGUUUUCAUCUCAUCUGCAGGGAGAAGUGAGCCCUGGUUAGAAGCGUGCUGGAGAGCUGGGGUGUCAGGAUGACGCGGUGGUCUGCUUGUGAAGAAGGAGCGUGUGGAAGACGCUCCAUAGCCCCAAACAGUGUUCUUUGAGUCACGGAUGAAGAGAAACCUUAACCAGCAUCUCGUCUGGCCGGCCUCAGCUGUGCACCUCCAUUGCUGUCAGGCUUGUGGGAGGAGCCUCGCUGUACUUGGGAAAGGUGCUGCCUUGGCUAUCUCAGUGGGGUUUGAACCCCUUGAGGUUUCCAUGCAACCCUGGAGGUCUUUGGUGCCUUGGUGGGACUUGUUAUCCACGGGAUAGGCCAAAGUCUAUGACCUCAGAGACCAGGGGUUAGUCCAGUGUGGCCCAUGGCCAACUUGGCCCCACCUGUGUUUGUAAAUAAAGUUUUAUUGGAACCCAGCCGCACCUCUUCAGUCACAUGCCUGUGGUUGCAUUUGUGCUGCAACUGCAGAGCUGAGUACUGUCGUAGUGCCACAGUCCGCAAAGACAAGAAUGCUGUCUGGCCUUUACAGAAGAGGGUGCCGGUAAAAAGUGUCUAAAUUCCAUCUUAGUGUCCGUUACCAUUUUCUCUCUCAAAGUCAGCUGGUCCAUACGGUGGAUCAGUAGCCUGCCAGCCAUCGGCUAAGUGACCUGCUGGCGGAGGAGAACUGGGUGAAGUGCUUCCAGUGUGGCCUCAUCUCUGCCCCUGCCUCCCAGCCCCACCAUCUCUGCUCUGGAAGCUGUUGCUAGCAGUUCCUUCUCAGUUUGGUUGUUAGUUCUCAAAGGAAGAAUUCUUUCUCUGACUUUGGAGUCUGAGAACUGGUUUCUGAAAGUUGCAGAAGCAUUCCUGGCAGACAGCCUUGCUCAGCCAGGGCCACCGUGUAUGCCGUGGGUAGGCAUUCACCGUGGUGCAGGCGGCCCCUUGGAAGACCGCAGCUUGGGCUGUCAGGUGUGGGUCCUGUCCCGGAGGUCUGCCUGGCUGUGGCUGGGCAAGGAGGUGGCUGGUGCUUGCCCGGCCUGGCCAUCUGUCUUCCAGAGGCCGGAGGAGAGGAGCCCAUCAGAGCACUGACUCCAG